rnacentral:rRNA from 1 species
UUUUAAAUGGCCGCAGUAUUUUGACUGUGCAAAGGUAGCAUAAUCAUUAGUUUUUUAAUUAAAAGCUUGUAUGAAAGGCUGGACGAGGUAAAAUCUGUCUCUAUUUAAAUUAUUAUAGAAUUUAACUUUUAAGUUAAAAGGCUUAAAUAUAAUUAAAAGACGAGAAGACCCUAUAGAUCUUUAUAAUUUAUUAAAUUAAAUUAAUUUAGAAAUAUUUAUAUUUUAUUUAAUUAAAUUAUUUUAUUGGGGUAAUAGAAAGAUUGAAUUAAUUCUUUUUUUUGAUAAACAUUAAUUUAUGAAUAUUAAUGAUCCAGUUUUACUGAUUAUAAGAUUAAGUUACCUUAGGGAUAACAGCGUAAUUUUUUUAGAGAGUUCAUAUCGAUAAAAAAGUUUGCGACCUCGAUGUUGGAUUAAAGAUUAUUUUAGGUGCAGAAGCUUAAUAAUUUUGGUCUGUUCGACCAUUAAAUCUUUACAUGAUCUGAGUUCAGACCGGCGUAAGCCAGGUCGGUUUCUAUCUUUAAUAAAAUAGAAUAUUUUAGUACGAAAGGACCAAAUAUUUAAUAUAUUUAUAUUUAAUUAAUUGAAUAUUA